rnacentral:rRNA from 1 species
CUAGUAAUAAACUAGCUCGUGUUCCAGCAGUCGAGACUGAGAGGUCGAUCGACCACAUUGGGUAUGAAAAAAGCCCAAGGCGAACAGCACAGCAGUGAGGAAUAUUGGUCAAUGGUCUAACGACUGAACCAGCAAUUUGGAAGAACGUAUAAUAAAUAAAUUAUUUAAAGUUCUAGAUAAAAUAUUUAUAAUGACUAUUUUUUAUCUAUAAGUCUUGGCCAAAUUACGUGCCAGCAGUCGCGGUAAUACGUAAAAGACGAGUGUUAUUCAUCUUUAAUCGGUUUAAAGGGUACCUAGACGGAAAAUCAAGCUUAAUUAAACUAAGGACUAGUUUUCUAGAGUUUGACAUGAGAAGGUACGAACUAUCAGAGGAGAGAUAAAAUUUGUUGAUACUGGUGGGACGGACAACGGCGAAGGCAAUCUUCUACUAAAAACUGACGUUGAGGGACGAAGCCUUGGGGAGCGAGAAGGAUUAGAUACCCUAGUAGUCCUUGGAGAAAAUUAUGAGUGCCAUAGACUAAAGUGAAAAAGAAGUUCUUUUAAAAGAACUUUGUAUCUGAGCCUUAAUUGGAUACAAAGGUCUCGAGUAGCAGUUUAUAAAUGAAAGUGUAAGCAUUCCACCUCAUGACUAAAGCGGCAACGCCCAAAUUGAAAUCAUUAGACCGUUUCUGAAACCAGUAGUGAAGUAUGUUAUUUAAUUCGAUAACCCGCGAAUAACCUUACCACGUUUUGAAUUUAUUAAACAAGUGUUGCACGGCUGUCUUCAGUUAAUGUCGUGAG